rnacentral:rRNA from 1 species
UACGGUAGGGGGCAAGCGUUGUCCGGAAUCAUUGGGCGUAAAGCGUGCGCAGGCGGUUCGUUGUGUCCGUCGUGAAAGCCCCGGGGCUUAACCUGGGGAACUGCGAUGGAAACUAGCGAGCUGGAGUGUGGCAGAGGGGGGGUGGAAUUCCGCGUGUAGCAGUGAAAUGCGUAGAGAUGCGGAGGGAACACCGAUGGCGAAGGCGGCUUCCUGGACCGGUUCUGACACUGAGGAGCGAAAGCGUGGGGGAGCGAUCCGG